rnacentral:tRNA from 1 species
AUUGGGGUGGCAGAGCUAAGUAAUUGCAAGAAGCCUAAGAUUUCUUAACAGAGGUUCAAAUCCUCUCCCUAACA